GGAUGUAUUUGACUUUCCUUCUCCUGAAGAAUAUGUAGGUUAACAACCCUGUGUUCCAGGCUCAUGGUCCUACAUGCGCAGAGUUGUGACUACCACCAAAACUCCAGAGUGAAUGAAAAGGCUCCUGUCAGUGAGUUCCUUCUCAGCCAUCACUAGGUGAACACUACACACAGGACCUUUCCUGUCCCAGUCUGAAGAGUCCAGUGCCUUCACUGGAUCCAGCCUUAGGUGACCAUCUGCAUUUUCAGGCCUUUGGUUCCUGCUGUUCACAGAAAGCUGCAGAUGGCUGCCUCAGCAGGAAGCCCUUCCCCCUUCCUUAAUGGAACUCGUGGGAAUGCGGGGAUCCUGGAACCGAAGCCCUCCUUCCCUUCCAAACCUCCUCUCCAAACCCCUACUGAGUCAAAGGAAAAAAAUCCCCACAUCCCUGGAAACAUUUUUGCCAGCCUGUUUUUCAGUAAAAACUUAAAUUAACCACUUCACUCCUGAUUAUAAUAAAGAUUUGUU
rnacentral:lncRNA from 7 species